rnacentral:rRNA from 1 species
CCUACGGGAGGCAGCAGUAGGGAAUCUUCCACAAUGGGCGAAAGCCUGAUGGAGCAACGCCGCGUGGGUGAAGAAGGUCUUCGGAUCGUAAAACCCUGUUGGUAGAGAAGAAAGUGCGUGAGAGUAACUGUUCACGUGUCGACGGUAUCGAACCAGAAAGCCACGGCUAACUACGUGCCAGCAGCCGCGGUAAUACGUAGGUGGCAAGCGUUAUCCGGAUUUAUUGGGCGUAAAGGGAACGCAGGCGGUCUUUUACGUCUGAUGUGAAAGCCUUCGGCUUAACCGGAGUAGUGCAUUGGAAACUGGGAGACUUGAGUGCAGAAGAGGCGAGUGGAACUCCAUGUGUAGCGGUUAACUGCGUAGAUAUAUGGAAGCACACCAGUGGCGAACGCGGCUCUCUGGUCUGUACCUGACGCUGAGGUUCGAAAGCGUGGGUAGCAAACAGGAUUAGAUACCCCUGUAGUC